UAGCGAUUAGCGCUUAGCUAGCGAUUAGCAUUUAGCUAGCGAUUAGCACGUAGCUAGCGAUUAGCAGUUAGCUAGCGAUUAGCACGUAGCUAAGCGCUAGCUUUGGUUUAUGUGUUUAUGUGUGCUAGCUCUAGCUAGCUAGCUAAAGAGAAUGACAUGAUAUUAAUAUGCUAGCGCUAGCUAAGGAGGAUGACAGGUUAUCAAUAUGCUAUAGGGAGGAUUACAUGGCAUUAAUAAUCUAGCGCUAGCUGGCUAGCUAAAGAUAAUUAGCAGGUGGCUAACAAACAAACAAUUUAAAGCUGAAUGAUUUUAAUAUUAACACAAAAUAAGUUCAAUACACCUUAAAUAUUUUACCCUACUAUGAGCUGUUCCUUAAUUUACAUUAGCACUCCUUCAGGAGCAUAAUACAAUUAAACACAUUAACCAAAGCUAGCACUUAGCUAGCAAUUAGCGCGUAGCUAGCGAUUAGCACGUAGCUAAGCGCUAGCUUUGGUUAAUGUGUUUAUGUGUGCUAGCUCUAGCUAGCUAGCUAAAGAGAAUUAGAAGGUAGAAGAAGGUAUUAGAAGACUAGCUAAUUAAUUAAAAUGCUUUGCUUGCUAGAGAGGAUAAGCUACUAAUGUUCUAGCGCCAGCUAGCUAGACAGAACAAGGUAUGAAUGUGCUAGCACUCGCUAGCUAGAGAGGACAAAGGAUUACUGUGCUAAUUAAACGUCACAAAAGACACUGAAA